CUCCCUCUCUCUCCAUGUCCCUCAUUCAUCCUCAUGUCCCCAACUCCCAGAUGGCAGUGACCAGAACUCACCAACCAUUCCAGACCACCUGUCACCACCAAAGGACCAGAGGGUGUCACAUUCCUCAUGGUUUCCUCACAAGCAAUAGAAACAGAAUAGGAAAAUUGUAGGCACAAGAGCAAUGCCUGGAAAGACCCAGAAUCUUCAUGAUGCACCAGGUGCAGUACAUACCAGCAAUUGUCAUUACCGUACGUCGGAGGCUGGCAUCUAUGCUGCAAGUUGCUGUUUGAGAGCUUCAGAGUGGCCCAAUGCUUUGAUAUAACCACAGGAGUCAGAAAUAUUCUCUGAGGGACAGCGUCCUACCCACCUGCAGAUGGAGGUGUUUGAGCAUGCUCACUCAGCUGGAAUGUACGUUUUCUCCCUCGCUCCAGGUGUAGUUAGAUUGCUGAAUAGCACAGUCUGCCAUCUUGACAGGAAGUCACUCAGGAAAGUCUGCCAACUCCUUUGGCAAGAAAGGUCUCUUGGAAGAGUCUGGAUGGAUAGUCAGCAUCUUCAGGAUCAGAAGGAAGUACCCUAUCCUGCAGUGAGCACCUUCCAACGGAACAGUCACUGCAGUGUUUGGACAGGACAUCACUGUCUUGCUCUGGGAAGGAAACAGGGGUGAAGCCCUGCCCUGCACUUGGACCUCUAGGUUAUCUGCCAAGACUUACAUGGUGGAAAGAGCAGACAAUGACAACCAUUACAGCAUAAUAUGACCCCGGUCCUCCUGCUCCACAAACCGUGAGCACGGAGGAGACAUGCAACACCUGUCCGUACCUGCCUAGGUGACAUUGCCUUCCACAUUGCCUUCCACCUCCUCCCUAACUGUAGCCACUGACUCCCCU